rnacentral:misc_RNA from 1 species
UCUCCGUAGGUGAACCUGCGGAGGGAUCAUUACUGAGUGAGGGCCUUCUGGUCCGACCUCCAACCCCAUGUUAUCCGACACUGUUGCCUCCGGGGCGACCCGGCCUUCGGGCGUCGGGGCCCCCGGUGGACCACCCAACCCUGCAUCGUUGCGUCUGAGUCGAAAUAUAAAUCAAUCAAAACUUUCAACAACGGAUCUCUUGGUUCUGGCAUCGAUGAAGAACGCAGC